UGGGGAAUUUUGGACAAUGGGGGAAACCCUGAUCCAGCCAUCCCGCGUGUGCGAUGAAGGCCUUCGGGUUGUAAAGCACUUUUGGGAAAGAAACGUCAUGGGUUAAUACCCCGUGAAACUGACGGUACCUGCAGAAUAAGCACCGGCUAACUACGUGCCAGCAGCCGCGGUAAUACGUAGGGUGCAAGCGUUAAUCGGAAUUACUGGGCGUAAAGCGUGCGCAGGCGGUUCGGAAAGAAAGAUGUGAAAUCCCAGAGCUCAACUUUGGAACUGCAUUUUUAACUACCGGGCUAGAGUGUGUCAGAGGGAGGUGGAAUUCCGCGUGUAGCAGUGAAAUGCGUAGAUAUGCGGAGGAACACCGAUGGCGAAGGCAGCCUCCUGGGAUAACACUGACGCUCAUGCACGAAAGCGUGGGGAGCAAACAGG
rnacentral:rRNA from 1 species